CCGGGACGGGGCCGGGAGCGCCCGGGGCGAUGCGGGGCGUCCCUGGGGGCCCUCCCUAGCGCCGGAGCCGCUAGGUUGGGCAAUGUUUGUCCAGAUCAUGUGAGAGAAGGUUAAACAAAAGCUGCUUGCAGAAGAGGAGAGAGGCUAUUGAAACAAUCGAAUACAGGUCUAAAGCUUGUUUUCCUGAAAAUCAGGGAAACAUCCAUAGGGAUUUUGCUGGACCUUGCCCUUGGGCUUGCAGAAGAGCACAGUGAGUGACUGACAGAGUAUUCAUAGAAUCACUUCUCAUCCUUGUCACCAGAGUCUUCCUCUGCUCUUACAGCAGGCUAUCACAUGCUGCUCCCUCAUUUACUUGCAAAAGAUCCCACAGAUACCUCUGUGUUAUUACUGAAGUCUGAUGGAUUCUUGGAAUUGAUGAACUGUAGCUAAGAAGAACAAUAUGUAAAGAAACUGAAAUAAGUUAAAGUAAAUGGGCAGUGCAAUAUCCUUGCUCCUGCAGAGCUCAAGACUUCGCAGUGCAAGCAGGCAUGCUACAGACAAAGAAGGAGGCAAAGGAAGGAUGAGUUUUGCUUUUCUCUUUGGCUGCUUCUGAUUAAGUAAAAUCUGGGCUCUCUGUCUGCAUGGAGGAGGUAACUGAAAGCACUCUGCAGAAGAUGGAGUGGAGAGCAGUGUCCUCUAUAGUGUGUUCUUUGGCACGGAGCCUGGUCACAGGGGUACAUCCACACACCACUAUCAGGGGCAGAUAGGGUUCCCAGAAUGCUUGGUCAAGAAAGGCAUUAUGCUUCCCUUCGAGAAACAACUCUCAGACUCUUCUUGCUGCUGCAGAAGCAGCAUGUGCCUAGAUGCAUUCUUAUCCAACCAAGCCUUCACAGAGAUGUUUAAAACUGUGCAGCAGGAGCCCUGCUAGCACAGUAACUUCAAAUGCAUGUGCCCACAACUGACUUACUUGGCUAGCAGCUAUGGCAAAUGAAACUAGUUUUGCCAGUAGCUUGGGUCGACAUAGUCUUUUUCCCAUUAAAUAGGUCACAAUGUUGUUUUUUGAUUUGUGCUCUUGUUUACUGGAUUCUUACUGUGGCUGACAGCCUGAAGGCACGGUGUUGCAAAGGGAGAGUGGGAUGGCUGGAGGUCUGAUGAGAGAUGUGUCCCUCUUGAUGCAAUGCCUUCUGUAUCUCCCCAGAAGCCCCUGUACAGACAGACAGGAGGUGGGAGACGGGAGGAGAUGGGGUCAGGGCAAGCUUUGCUAUGCAGUUUGAUGAUUGUGCAAUGCCGUGUCCCCAAGCAGAGACUUAAGCCAGUGCAGCAGUGCACUCCAAGGUCUCCCUGCACCAGACCUUAUUUUACCAGAAUGCAUUGCACAUGGGCUGUGCAGGAAAUCGGAUGAAAUAGAUUUGCGGUUAUAUUACGAAAAAAAAAAAAAAAGACUGUGUGAAAUCAGCAUGUUUGUUUAUCUUAUGGAAUGGUCAUAUGAGAGAGCCCUCACCUUCUUUCACCGGUAAAUUGUACAGAUUGUGCCUCCAAGGGUGAUGAGGGACAAAACCAAGACCAUCUCUCUCACGUCUCAGCUGCAAGUGUGCUGUCAGGAAUCAAGGAAGAAUUGUAAAACAGCCAAACAAAGGAGGAAUUUGGCAAUGAUCAUUUUGAAAUAAACCUGUUUGUGACAAGCAGUGACUGUGGCAAUAUUUACGCUAUGAUUCAUACCAAAGUGCAGCACCUGAAGUUCUAGUCUGGAUGACUUUUAGGAUAGAAUCAGCAGCAAAUACUAUUCUAACAUUUAAUAAUGAGCAAGCAAGCAUCAAAGCUGCUCUUGGCUCUGGAACAGUAUUGAUUUAGAGUAGUGUAAGAGCUGGCUGGAAGCAUCUGCACUGCCAGGUGCAUGUUACUUGUAACUGCCUAUCUCUCUGUAUUCACUUGCAGUUUCUCUUCUCUUUAUGUGACAGCUGCUGUUACAAGAAACUCUUAGCUGGCAUAUAUCACAUUAGAGCCCUUUGAGGAUGCUCUCAGAAAGUCCCUUACACUGCCUCCCACUCCUCACUGAUGACAAGACUGAACCUGCAUCUAUGCUAAAGGGCCAGCAAUAGUGCCUGUGUCUGUCAGCUGCAGGCAGCUCCUGGAAGCCUCCUUACAGAGAGAUACAGGCAUGUUAUUCUCUCAGUGCUACUGGAUAAACAAACUGCUACAGCCAGGAAGACAUCAGAGAUGCUUUGUAUGCCUGGUUAUUGAUGCUGUCAAAAGGCAGUUUCUAGAAACUCAGCAAAUUCCAGUGGACACCAGUGGGAGCUGCAUGUUUUUACACUACAAAAACAGCUCUUCUGAGGGAAUCAAAAAGUCAGGUUCCUAUUUCUUUAGAGAAACUCAGCUUCAGAAUAUGAGACUAUUCUUCCUCUCCUGCCCUAAUAAUAUUGAUAAAUACCUGGUUAGAGAAAAAGCCUGUCUUACUGGCUGUCUUACUAAGGGAAAAUGAGAUCAGAAAAGGGGGUGCCUACAGAUUACUUCCUCCAAGAAGAUCUUUGCUUCCAACAAAAUCUUCAACAUUGGACUUCUCAGUCUAGUCCUCAAAGGUACAUAGUGGGUUUUUCCUACCUAAAGUACUUGUGCAGGGAAGGAUCUUCACACAGGCUGGUUGGGUGACUCCUCUGCUUAGCAUUACUUGUUCUCUUAGUUUUUCCCUUUAUUUAACUAUUGAAGCUAGUUUUGAACUGUUUAAAGAAAACACCCAUAAACAUUUAGGUAGGAAAAAAAUUAAGAAAAGCCACAGUUUUUAAAACAGAAAAAUGACUAAUCUAGAGCCUGGAAGAACUGCUUACGUGACAAACCUGCUUGCUUACAUUUUGACUUCUCACCUGUCUCUAGUUUUCUACUUGAAGGAAUUCUUUGUGGGAAAUGCAGGCACAGAAAGCUUCCAAGGCCUUGAGCAAACAAGCUCAGAGAUAGAGAUGGAUACAGUGUUUGACCUUAGACCUUGGAGAAGGCUUGAUGGUUUAGAAUAGACUAAAAUUAGAACAGAGAGAUUAAAUAAGAAUAAAGAUUUGUUGUUUAAGCAGAAAUAUGUUUUAAGCAAGUAGAUAUAGGCCUCAUAUAAGAGAAUGACUAUGCUAAGCAAAAUAGUAGAAUACAAUUAAAGUUUAGCAAUAGAACUUGUUAGAGAGUUGAUCAAAAGUAGAAGAUACAGCAAUAAGUUUUUGUAGAGUUAUAUGAUUGGAUAGAAAAAGUAAAAUGCAGCAAUUAGCAAUUGAUUAUGAAGGUGCUAGUGAGCUUUGUGUAAGUUUAGAAUAAGAAAUUUAUGAAAGACAUUUUACCUAGAAUUAUAAUGGCUUCUGAUACAAGGUUUCUAAUGUAUGGCUUCUAAUGUGAUUAUUCCAUGAGACUGAUUUUGAAAUAAACCAUCUUUUAAAUGCCUU